AUGCGAUUCCAGAAUGUAGAGAAAGCAAGGGAAUUUUAUAACAGAUACGCCAGACACACUAGUUUUGGAAUCAGGAAGACGGGAGGGAAUGGCAAUCACAAGUAUUUUGUUUGCACGUUCCAAGGGAAACACACAACUUCUAUUUCAGAGGCUGACAGGAAGCGAAACAAAACAUCGCAGAGGACAGGCUGCAAUGCAAGAAUGAGGGUGAAGGUGCAGGAGGAUAACACAUGUGUGGUAGUGGACAUUGAGUACAAUCAUAAUCACCACCUCAUGCAAACUGAUGACAUGCUGGUCUUCUUGCACUCACACAAGAAUUAUGACCCCACUAUUUUGGAGUACGUAAAGCUCCUCAUGUACCAUGAUGUCAAGCACACAACAAUCAUGUUCAUGCUAUCUGAAAAUGAAGAUGGAAGCUACUUCCUAGCAGCCGUACGAGACCUACUAAACCGGAAAGCCAUGAAUGCAAGGAAAGAUGAUUUGGAUGAUGUAUUAAAACUUGUAUAUUUCUUUAAAGACAUGAAGGCAAUCAAUGCUGAGUUUUACUAUGACAUACUAUCCAAUGCAAGCUGCCGAGGAGCGUAUCAAGACUUUGGCGACUGCGUAACAUUCGACACAACUUACAAGACCAACAGAUUUCAUAUGCCUGUGGCAGUAUUUGUUGGAACAAACCAUCACUUGUAGUCAACGAUAUUUGUUGUUGCCCUGAUCAGAGAUGAAGAUGCAAAAUCAUUCAAGUGGCUAUCCGAUACAUUUGUACGGUGCAUGAACAACAAACACCCAACUUGCAUUCUAACAAACCAGUGACCGUCGAUGGCGAAAGCUAUACCACAAUCAUUCCCAAACACCGUCCACAAGCUAUGCCGUUGGCACAUCAUGAAGAAGUUCAAGGAAUACCUCACGUUGCUGUACAAAAAGUAUAAAACAUUCAAAGAGGAGUUCACACCAAUCUUAAACUGGCCGCUAAUGCCAAUAGAGUUUGAAGCUGCCUGGGCUGCACUCGUGCAAAAGUACAACCUGCAAAACGACCAGAUGAUGAUGCAGCUGUCGAGUGAUAGGAAAAUGUGGAUAUCAGCAUAUUACAAGAACAUUUUCUGUGCUAGAAUGACUUAUACACAAUGAAGCGAGAGCAUCAAUCACGUGCUCAAGAGAGAGUUUGUCAAGGGGACCCAGAACCUACACAGGUUUGCCAGGUGA
rnacentral:rRNA from 1 species